rnacentral:rRNA from 1 species
GUUGUAUGGUUAAGUGACUAAGCGUACACGGUGGAUGCCUUGGCAGUCAGAGGCGAUGAAGGACGUAUUAACUUGCGAUAAGCCCAGAGAAGGUAGUAAAAACCGGUGACUCUGGGAUUUCCGAAUGGGGAAACCCACGUGCAUAAGCACGUAUCGUGUUGUGAAUACAUAGCAGCACGAGGCGAACCGGGGGAACUGAAACAUCUAAGUACCCCGAGGAAGAGAAAUCAACCGAGAUUCCGGCAGUAGCGGCGAGCGAAACCGGAUUAGCCCUUAAGCUAGUUUUGCGUUAGGUGAAAGUUCUGGAAAGUUCUGCGAUACAGGGUGAUAGCCCCGUAACCGACAACGCAUUAUCAGUGAAAACGAGUAGGACGGGACACGUGAUAUCCUGUUUGAAUAUGGGGGGACCAUCCUCCAAGGCUAAAUACUCCUGACUGACCGAUAGUGAACCAGUACCGUGAGGGAAAGGCGAAAAGAACCCCUGUGAGGGGAGUGAAAUAGAACCUGAAACCGUGUACGUACAAGCAGUAGGAGCCCACUUGUUGGGUGACUGCGUACCUUUUGUAUAAUGGGUCAGCGACUUAAUUUUAGUAGCAAGGUUAACCGUUUAGGGGAGCCGUAGGGAAACCGAGUCUUAACUGGGCGAAUGAGUUGCUAGGAUUAGACCCGAAACCGAGUGAUCUAGCCAUGGGCAGGUUGAAGGUGAGGUAACACUUACUGGAGGACCGAACCGACUAAUGUUGAAAAAUUAGCGGAUGACUUGUGGCUAGGGGUGAAAGGCCAAUCAAACUCGGAGAUAGCUGGUUCUCCCCGAAAGCUAUUUAGGUAGCGCCUCGGACGAAUACUACUGGGGGUAGAGCACUGUUAAGGCUAGGGGGUCAUCCCGACUUACCAACCCUUUGCAAACUCCGAAUACCAGUAAGUACUAUCCGGGAGACACACGGCGGGUGCUAACGUCCGUCGUGAAGAGGGAAACAACCCAGACCGCCAGCUAAGGUCCCAAAGUUAUAGCUAAGUGGGAAACGAUGUGGGAAGGCUCAGACAGCCAGGAUGUUGGCUUAGAAGCAGCCAUCAUUUAAAGAAAGCGUAAUAGCUCACUGGUCGAGUCGGCCUGCGCGGAAGAUUUAACGGGGCUAAGCUAUACACCGAAGCUGCGGCAAUG